UCUAUAGUUUCACAUCUCUACCAAAAACCCAGCUAAACGAAACAGAAGGUUUUGACACAAGUUUGACCCUAUCAUUAGCUCUUUCCUCUAACCUCUUGAUCCUCUGCGGCAAGGUGCACAAGUACUCCUGUGCUCUCCUUCCUUCUCCUGAUAACCCCAAUCCCAAACUCUCCACCUUCCACCGCCGCAACAGAAACUCAAGUAUCCCAGCGUAAUCCGCCGCCGUGUAAACUCCAAUCCGCUGCGCCACGGCGGCGUAAUGAUCAAACAAAUCGUUAUCUCUUCCGUCGUGCAUAAGAUGAGCCGGCAUUGUGAUCCGUUUCUUCAUCAUACUCGCUAACGCCUGAACAGAUCCGUCAGGGUCGAUCUCGAAUAGCUUCUCCACUAUCUUCGUGUACGCCGUCUCGUGUCGCUUCUCGUCGGCAGCGAUUGUGCCGCAGAUCUUCGCGAGGGUAACAUCGCCGUAUGUUGUGGCUAGCCUAGCCGUGUUGCCGUGAGAGAUGAAUGUUGCUCGCUCUUGGAAUGAUGUGUAGAUGAAUCCAUUGUAUGGAUUGUUCUCAAAUUUCGAAUCCUAAAACGUAACGUUGCCAAAAAAAAUAUUAAUAAUGUAACCAAAUCAAUAGUAACGAUAAAUGUGAAAUACUUACCAUACCAGAACCAAUAAGAUAUUGUAUAGUCUUCUCAACAUGUCGCAUAUCAACACGACCAGUUAGAUAAAGAUACUUGUUGAGUAAGUCACCGUGACGGUUUUCCUCCGCCGUCCAGGCUCUAAUCCACACAGCCCACGGCGAUAAACUCCCACCGGUUUCAUCCUUAACACCGUCUAGUGUGUUUAACGUCGUUUGAUACGUUGGAAGUGCUUCUUCUGUGAUCAUAUCUCCCACAAGAACUACAAAGUAAUCGUCAGGUAUCUCUUUUGUUCUUUCUCUGAUCUCUUUUACUCGGUCGUAGAAUUCGUCGUCGUUCUCUGGCGCAGGUAAGAAGUCUUGUGGUUGCCAUGAAUCUUCUACCGGUUUGAGAUAAGGUAGUAGUUUUUGUUCUGCCCAAUUUUCCAUUGAUUUGAAGAUCUCAAGCUUCUCCUGUGGUAUUGUGUGUGUUAAUUGGUUAUUUACUUCUUUGAUAGGUCGAAAAUGAUUGCAUGUUUCGUUUUUCUUCCUACAAAAAAAAGAGGUGAACAAAUUUUAAUACCAAACAGAUAUUAGUCAUGGAUACGUGUUAAAAAAGAUUUGCGAUAUCUUUUUAUAGUACAAAACUAUAAAAAGGGUUAAUAAUAGUACAAUUACAGUAAACUCUAUAAAUGUGGUGGUUAUAUAUACGUAUUCUUUCACAACAUGUAAUUUUAACAUAAACUCCCUUAAAAAAACAACUCCGUUGUAUUUCUAUAGUUUUAUUUAAAGAAUUAUGAAAUGUAUUCAUUUUAUAUAUAUAAAAUUGUGAUGAUAU